rnacentral:rRNA from 1 species
GACGCCCCGAGCGAACGUUGUUCGGAAUCACUGGGCUUAAAGGGCGCGUAGGCGGGCGAUCAAGUCGGUGGUGAAAUCCUACAGCUUAACUGUAGAACUGCCUCCGAUACUGGUUGUCUCGAGGAAGGUAGGGGCGUGCGGAACAGUUGGUGGAGCGGUGAAAUGCGUUGAUAUCAACUGGAACUCCGGUGGCGAAGGCGGCACGCUGGACCUUUUCUGACGCUGAGGCGCGAAAGCCAGGGGAGCAAACGGG